UAAUAAGAACGUAAAACUGAUACCGAUCAAAAACAAAAAAGAAUGUAAAACUGACCACGCUGGCACAUUAUCUAAGCCCCUUGUCUUCUUCUUUUCCUACUAUUUUCCAGUUUUACAGUAAAAAUUAUAGGGAUUUACUAGAAAUUGUAUAAUUUCUUACCCUACUCCCACAUUUUUAUCUAACUCGCGUCCCUCCCAGAUAUUUUUCCCAUUUUCCUUUCGGGAUUCCAAAAAUUUAUCACGGAAAUUGCAGAGAACCUUCUUGCUAAAUUCCACGCAAUUGUUUCUGUACGUAUAGAUGGAAGAAUAGAACUUCGAUAGAAUUGAGAAAAUUAGUUUUUUUUUCUCCUGCUGUUUUGCAUGGUAAAAUUUGGGUAAGGAUAAGAAGAUUGAAAUGAUGAUGACCGAGACAGAUGAUAAUGGAGGAAUUGUUUCAGAUGGACGAUAUUUGCGAUGACGUAUACCUCGAUCUCGACUCUUUCUGGAAUCUCAUGGCUGGCCCUCCUGAACAGGAUCCUUCAGGACCUUCACAGGUUAGAUG
rnacentral:lncRNA from 1 species